UAAACGACUCUCGGCAACGGAUAUCUCGGCUCAUGCAUCGAUGAAGAACGUAGCGAAAUGCGAUACUUGGUGUGAAUUGCAGAAUCCCGUGAACCAUCGAGUUUUUGAACGCAAGUUGCGCCCGAACCCAUUCGGCCGAGGGCACGUCUGCCUGGGCGUCACGC
rnacentral:rRNA from 1 species